UACAGAGGGUGCGAGCGUUGUCCGGAAUCACUGGGCGUAAAGGGCGCGUAGGCGGCCUGAUAAGUAGGGGGUGAAAUCUUGCGGCUCAACCGCAGGGCUGCCUUCUAAACUGUCAGGCUGGAGCACAGUAGAGGCAGGUGGAAUUCCCGGUGUAGCGGUGGAAUGCGUAGAGAUCGGGAAGAACAUCAGUGGCGAAGGCGGCCUGCUGGGCUGUUGCUGACGCUGAGGCGCGACAGCGUGGGGAGCAAACAGG
rnacentral:rRNA from 1 species